CGCAGGCGGUCGUUCAAGUCGCGUGUGAAAGCCCCCGGCUCAACUGGGGAGGGUCACGCGAUACUGAUCGACUCGAAGGCAGGAGAGGGUAGUGGAAUUCCCGGUGUAGUGGUGAAAUGCGUAGAUAUCGGGAGGAACACCAGUGGCGAAGGCGACUACCUGGCCUGUUCUUGACGCUGAGGCGCGAAAGCUAGGGGAGGCAAACG
rnacentral:rRNA from 1 species